CCUACGGGAGGCAGCAGUGAGGAAUAUUGGUCAAUGGACGAGAGUCUGAACCAGCCAAGUAGCGUGAAGGAUGACUGCCCUAUGGGUUGUAAACUUCUUUUAUAUGGGAAUAAAACGUUCCACGUGUGGGAUUUUGUAUGUACCAUAUGAAUAAGGAUCGGCUAACUCCGUGCCAGCAGCCGCGGUAAUACGGAGGAUCCGAUCGUUAUCCGGAUUUAUUGGGUUUAAAGGGAGCGUAGGUGGAUUGUUAAGUCAGUUGUGAAAGUUUGCGGCUCAACCGUAAAAUUGCAGUUGAAACUGGCAGUCUUGAGUACAGUAGAGGUGGGCGGAAUUCGUGGUGUAGCGGUGAAAUGCUUAGAUAUCACGAAGAACUCCGAUUGCGAAGGCAGUUCACUGGACUGCAACUGACACUGAGGCUCGAAAGUGUGGGUAUCAAACAGGAUUAGAUACCCCGGUAGUC
rnacentral:rRNA from 1 species